rnacentral:misc_RNA from 1 species
GAUGAAGAACGCAGCGAAAUGCGAUACGUAAUGUGAAUUGCAGAAUUCAGUGAAUCAUCGAAUCUUUGAACGCAUAUUGCGCUCUCUGGUAUUCCGGAGAGCAUGCUUGUUUGAGUAUCAGUAAACACCUCAACUCCCUUUUCUUUUUUGAAAUUGGAGCUGGACUUGAGUGAUCCCAACGCUUUCUUCCAAGAAAGUGGCUGGUUGCUUGAAAUGCAGGUGCAGCUGAACUUUUCUCUGAGCUAUAAGCAUAUCUAUUUAGUCUGCCUAAAAAACAGAUUAUUACCUUUGCUGCAGCUAACAUAAAGGAGACUAGUUCUUGUGCUGACUGAUGCAGGAUUCACAGAGACAGCUUCGGCUGACUUUGUAAACUCGAUCUCAAAUCAAGUAAGACUACCCGCUGAACUUAAGCAUAUCAAUAAGCGGAGGA